CAGCCGUGCGGUGAGCACAGAGCGAAUUAUUCUUUCGCCUUUUACUAAAGAAUACCGUGUGUUCGCUGUAUUCAGCAUACGCCAAUUUUUGGAGGGUUCUUCUCUCUUUUGAGAGCCC
rnacentral:snRNA from 1 species